rnacentral:rRNA from 1 species
GAUGAACGUUGGCGGCGUGCCUAAUACAUGCAAGUCGAACGAAGACUGUAGUAAUACUGUCUUAGUGGCGAACGGGUGAGUAACGCGUGGGUGACCUGCCCCGAAGUGUGGGAUAACAGUCCGAAAGGAUUGCUAAUACUGCAUAAUAUCCAAGAGAUUAGAUGCUUUUGGAUUAAAGGAGUAAUUCGCUUCGGGAGGGGCCCGCGUCCCAUCAGCUAGUUGGUAAGGUAAUGGCUUACCAAGGCGAUGACGGGUAGGGGACCUGAGAGGGUGGCCCCCCAAAUGGAACUGAAACACGGUCCAUACACCUACGGGUGGCAGCAGUAGGGAAUAUUAGUAAUGGGCGAAAGCCUGAACUAGCAACGCCGCGUGUGCGAAGAAGGCCUUCGGGUCGUAAAGCACUUUUUGAGAGGAUGAGGAAGGACGGUACUCUCAGAAUAAGUCUCGGCUAACUACGUGCCAGCAGCCGCGGUAAGAUCACGUGUA